AGAGUUUGAUCCUGGCUCAGGACGAACGCUGGCGGCGUGCUAACACAUGCAAGUCGAACGGUCCGGCACACAACCGACCCUCAGUCUAACUGUAGGUGAAGUUAAGUGCUGGGUAGUGGCGGACGGGUGAGUAACGCGUGGGCAACCAACCCUGUACAGUGGGAUAACACCGGGAAACGGGUGCUAAUACCGCAUGAAACUUAAUCAGUGCACACUGUUUAGGUUAAAGGUAAAAAACCGGUACGGGACGGGCCCGCGUCCCAUUAGCUAGUUGGUGAGGUAACGGCUCACCAAGGCAACGAUGGGUAGCCGACCUGAGAGGGUGACCGGCCACACUGGGACUGAGACACGGCCCAGACUCCUACGGGAGGCAGCAGUGGGGAAUAUUGCGCAAUGGACGGAAGUCUGACGCAGCGACGCCGCGUGAGCGAAGAAGGCCUUCGGGUCGUAAAGCUCUGUUCUUGGGGACGAAUAAGAUGACGGUACCCAAGGAGAAAGCCCCGGCUAACUACGUGCCAGCAGCCGCGGUAACACGUAGGGGGCGAGCGUUGUCCGGAAUUACUGGGCGUAAAGGGCGUGUAGGCGGCCGAGCAAGUCAAGUGUGAAAAGCCCCGGCUUAACCGAGGCAUUGCACAUGAAACUGUUUGGCUUGAGUGCAGGAGAGGGAAGUGGAAUUCCUAGUGUAGCGGUGAAAUGCGUAGAUAUUAGGAGGAACACCAGUGGCGAAGGCGACUUCCUGGACUGUAACUGACGCUGAGGCGCGAAAGCGUGGGUAGCAAACAGGAUUAGAUACCCUGGUAGUCCACGCCGUAAACGAUGGGUACUAGGUGUGGGUAGUUCACUCUAUCCGUGCCGCAGCAAACGCAAUAAGUACCCCGCCUGGGGAGUACGGCCGCAAGGUUGAAACUCAAAUGAAUUGACGG
rnacentral:rRNA from 1 species